rnacentral:misc_RNA from 1 species
GAUAUCUCCGCACUCUUUCCUAAAAGCCAGUUCCAGCUGUACGUGUAUGAUGCGCCAAUCUUGCAAAAUCUUUCCAAGUUUACGCCUUUGCCAGGAAAUGUUGGUACACAGAACUCGAAGCAAAGUGAUUAACAAUUGCCCAAGCUGUACAACAGUUUCGUUCUUUUGAAUAUCAUGGUUCUUCGCCACCUCAGGUAAUAAAGAAGCUUUACAAAUCACAGCAAAGACAGAGUCACGCCCAUAAAGCUUCCCAUCUUGAACCAGCAAAUGCUGGAGAUGAGCUCUAGCAACCAAUUCUGGUUGAAACUUUU